UGAGAAGAGUAGGAAAAAAAGGCAGGCAAGUGAAAAUUUGGGCACACUUAAUUAGGUCAUAUUACAUUUUUUCCCUCAAUUUGUGUAUUUCGCAAGGCCCCUUCAUUGAACGACACUCACAAACCCUUCAUUUUCUCUCCAUCUUGCUUUUAUCUUCUUCUUCCUUCGGAUGACACCCACAAAACCACAACUAACCUAGCAUCGUCUUCUUCAUUCAAAACAUUGUUUUCUUCUUCUUAGCAUCGUCUUUUCCCUCAUUCACAACUUUCACUUGCCGAGCAUUGAAGAUUUUUGGUUGUCGAGCAAUUUUCAAGCAUCUGCUUCUUGUCUUCUCUCGAAUUUGAAUAUGCGAUUUCACUGCUUUCAUCUUCUUUGAAUUUGCAUUUUCCCACAUCUUUCUUAAUUGAUUUCAUGGUACACACAGCAUAUAACUUUAUCUCCUUCCACUUUUUCAAUUCAUUCUUUUCACUUGUUUUGUUGCUCAAUCUUUCAUCUCAACUUCUAAAAGGGUUUUCUAUAUUCAAUUACCCGUAUGAGGUUUAAUUGAUUUGAUAUGUAUAGUACUUUGUUGGAAAUUUUAUUUAUUUUUUUGUUUCUUUAAUCGGAUUUAUUUGUUUAGAAGUUUCUUUUUCGUUCUCUUGCUGUUGGAAGGUGAAUUGAAUAAGAGAAGAUAUGGGUUCAUCGUGUACGUAAGUCAUUCGGGUAAUGCAAGUAAAAUGUUUAGGCUUUUCGGUCAUUAUAUUUUAAUAUACAUAUACUUAUUGCAAUCAACACAUUGAUUCAUUAACAAGCAUCUCCUUCUUCGUCAUUUGCCAUCGUCUAAAAUUAGGUAUCUUCUCAUAUCAUUCUUCUUCUCGAUUUUCAUCAUCAUUUGUAUCUAAUUUACUUCUUAUUUUUCUCUCAAUUUUGUCAUUUCAUAUCUCAUUCUCUAGUUUUCUCUAAUUUUCGGGACCUUUAAAUCUAUCAAGUAUCAGAUCUAAGGAACCCCACGGUAUAUGUUUUUAUAUUUUUAUUUUUUGUCAUCUCUUAUUCUUAUAUUGUUGUCCCUAUCUUUGUUUCUUAUCAAUCGCAUACUGGCCAUCUUUCUAUUUAUUCAUAUGGAAGUUCCAAUGUUCUUUCUUUUGUUUUUAGACAAAGUAAAAUUUUUAACGUAUUUUUUUAACUAUUUGAUUUGUAGCUAAGAAGUUAGUUACAAAUAAUUAUUUGCAAUUAUCCUAAUUUGAUUUCUAUUUAUAUUAUGCAUAAAUUGGAUUCUUUUGUCAUAAUUAUUGACUCACUAUUUGUUUGAUGUUAAGAUCAUCCUUGUCUCUUUGAAGUGCUUUCAUGACUUGAUUAACUUGCCAGAAGUUGAAAAUGAACUCAACAUUUUUCACAUUUUUUAGUACUUGUUUUAGUUUUAUCACUAAAAAAAUUUCUAAUUUGGGCUCUAUAAACUUUUAUUUUGAUGCUUAAAGUUCAAAACGUUUUGGUUUAGUCCCAAUUAGUUUGGUGACUCGAUACUCAAGUCUUGCAAUUGAUUUUUUAUAAAUUAUUUAACAAAACCCGCCCCAAGAUAGAUAUGUUCUUACUUUAUUUAUCUGUGACUUUUAGUUGUAUUGUUUGUUAUCUAUGUACGAAAACUGCUAUGGGCAUAGUCACAGUGAUUCGCGAUGUUCGAUCAGAAACUCUCACUUCAAACAUCAUUGAUCUAAAUACUCACAAUAUAUAGAGUUUAGAUCUGUAUUUUCCUUUGUUCGAAGAAGAUCUCCCAAUUAAAUUUUGCCCUUUUUGUUUGAGAAGCUCGAUUAGAUCUGUAAUGCUUCUCUAAUUUAGCUUCAUUCCAAGUAAUUUACUUUCUUAGAUCUUAUCCUACUGAAAUUCACUCUUUUUCAUGUUUUAAGCGACAUCUAGUGUGUUCAUUUUGCCCAUGUGAUUAGCUUUGGAAAAAUUUAUCAUGGUAGACAUUCUUUCUUUUGUUUUUUUUUUGUUUUUUUUUGUUUUGUUUUUUUGUUUUUUUUUUUUUAUGUUGAUGGUGCUUUACAUGUUUUAUUUUUUCAAUUUAUUUUCAAAGAAUUGUAGCUCUUGAAAUCUACAUAGAUGCAGCAAAGGUUAUGUCAUGGAGAUUAUACUCCCUACGAGUUUGUGCAAAUGCUUUUUAUAUCAUCUUACUUAUUUAUAAAUUACUAAGCGUUUUAGUUUCUUACUUCUAAUUAUACUAGUGUUUAUAGCAUUAUGGAUUUCUCUUGAUUGUGUAUUGCACAACUUAGUUAAUGAGGUUGCAUAAAUCUAUGAAGUUGACUCAUGGCCAUGGAAAGUAGACCAAAUGAUCCAAUACUCAAUCAACUAUUAUCAAAGUCAGGCUUCAACGAGUUACCACUGCAAUCAGUUUUGGAAGGAAUACUCGAUUAAAGAGUUGAGUUCUGUUUGUGGAAGGUGGUUUUGUGACGAGUUCGAUGUCAUGAUAAGAAUGGUUAACAGAUCCAAUAUAUGAUAGUUAUUCGUGAUUGUAGAUCUAAAUUUUGGCAUUAUGGGAAUGGUUUCCUCACUUUAUACAUUGUAUUUUUGAAGAUUUUGUUUAUAACUAUUAGAUGUGUAUGAAAUGUAAACUAUAUCUUUCUUCGUUUAGAUAAUAAUAUGGGCAAACGACUUCAAUAUA